UACGUAGGUGGCGAGCGUUGUCCGGAUUUACUGGGCGUAAAGGGAGCGUAGGCGGACUUUUAAGUGAGAUGUGAAAUACUCGGGCUCAACUUGAGUACUGCAUUUCAAACUGGAAGUCUAGAGUGCAGGAGAGGAGAAUGGAAUUCCUAGUGUAGCGGUGAAAUGCGUAGAGAUUAGGAAGAACACCAGUGGCGAAGGCGAUUCUCUGGACUGUAACUGACGCUGAGGCUCGAAAGCGUGGGGAGCAAACAGG
rnacentral:rRNA from 1 species